rnacentral:rRNA from 1 species
AUGGCCAAGGACGAGGUGAUGGAGACCGGCGGCGGCGGCGACUUCGCGGCCAAGGACUACACGGACCCGCCGCCGGCCCCGCUGAUCGACGCGGCGGAGCUGGCCUCCUGGUCGCUCUACCGCGCCGUCAUCGCCGAGUUCAUCGCCACGCUGCUCUUCCUCUACAUCACCGUGGCCACCGUCAUCGGGUACAAGCACCAGACGGACCCGGCCGUGAACACCGCCGCCGACGCGGCGUGCGGCGGCGUGGGCGUGCUCGGCAUCGCCUGGGCCUUCGGCGGCAUGAUCUUCGUCCUCGUCUACUGCACCGCCGGCAUCUCCGGGGGCCACAUCAACCCGGCCGUCACCUUCGGCCUCUUCCUGGCGCGCAAGGUCUCCCUGGUCCGCGCGCUGCUCUACAUGGUGGCCCAGUGCCUCGGCGCCAUGUGCGGGGUCGGCCUCGUCAAGGCCUUCCAGAGCGCCUACUUCGUCAGGUACGGCGGCGGCGCCAACACGCUCGCCGCCGGCUACUCCAAGGGCACCGGCCUCGCCGCGGAGAUCAUCGGCACCUUCGUGCUCGUCUACACCGUCUUCUCCGCCACCGACCCCAAGCGCAGCGCACGCGACUCUCACGUCCCGGUGCUGGCGCCCCUCCCGAUUGGCUUCGCCGUGUUCAUGGUCCACCUGGCCACCAUCCCCAUCACCGGCACCGGCAUCAACCCGGCCCGGAGCCUCGGGGCCGCCGUCAUCUACAACAAGGACAAGGCCUGGGAUGAUCAGUGGAUCUUCUGGGUCGGCCCCAUGAUCGGCGCGGCGAUCGCGGCCUUCUACCACCAGUACAUCCUCAGGGCCGGCGCCAUCAAGGCCCUCGGCUCCUUCAGGAGCAACGCGUAA